UCUUCUUCCUCGCAGAAUUUCGAGUAUUUCGCGUCAUCCAUCAAUGAAUUGAGCUCACCUGAAUCACUAACCUUGACCUUGAUGAUCCACCCACUCUCGUAUGGACUUGUAUUAACCUAUGCAAAAAAAAAAAAAACACAGUUCAUAGAAGUGUUCAAUCUACUCACAAUGAUCUAUUACGCAAUUAAAAGUUACCAAUCCAGGUUCAUCGCCUAGUCCAUCGUUCACUGCAACCACCUCUCCAGAUACUGGAGAGUAGAUAUCGCUGGUUGCCUUCACACUUUCAACAGCACCAAAGUUCUUUCCCUGGGAUACACUGCUGCCAACUUCUGGAAGCUCCACAUACACAACAUCACCCAAAUGGUGCUG
rnacentral:sRNA from 1 species